AUUCAACAAAAUGGAAGGGUCCCCUGAGACAUGGGCAAAGACAUCUACUGGGUUGUGCAUCCCUCUUUAGGGAGACCCCUGGCCAUCCUCCAGCCAGGCCCCCUCCCAAAGGACAAAGACUCCAGGACAGCUCCAAACAGGCCAUGACAGUGAGCAAUGUAUAUACAUGGAGCCUGGGAUCUAUGCCAUAUCAACACCGGUUUCUGGGGCCUGUGCUGGCAUCUUCUCUAGUCUGGAGCCUGAACGUCUUCUGUGGAGUCUGGACCUCUAGGGAGUUACAAAGGUUCACUCAUCAAGCAUUUUCUCAGUAUGAAGAUACAGUUCACUAUGUCUGGAAGGCAAGACAGCAGGAACAUGAGGGAGCUGUUCACACUGCAUCUGCAGUCAGGAAGCCGAGAGAGAGCAGGGAAUGCUGGUCCUCAGCUACCUCACUCCUCUUUCCACUUGUUCAGCACAAGAUCCCAGCCCAUGAGAUGCUGCCACUCAUGUUCGGGUUCAUGGGGUCAUCCACACAUUUAAUCCUGGCUCUUGAGGGAUGAGGGCGUAGAGGCAGGAUGAUCAUCCUCAACAACUCGAUGAAUUCAGCUGUAUACCUAACUUGAGGAUUCGGGUCUUCAGAUGGCACAAACAGGAAGAUGGGUAGAAAUAUGGGCACACUGUGGAUUCAUGAGCAACUACAUUGCGGGAAACCUGUGAAAAGUGUGUCUUGGUGGUUCUAGUUUACUCAUUAAUAUAAUAAACAAACUGUGGGCUGAAUG